GCUGUUGGAGCAGCUGAGACUUGGAAACAUGUAGGCAACGUUUCUAAGAAUGUCUUUGCUGUACAUGUUGGAGGAAGAUCUCAGAUUUUUGCAUUUAAAAGAUCCUGGCCUGUCACAGCCUCCCCGGAUACCUGGCUGCUGUCCAGAAAACUGGAGAAUUAGUGUGAGGAAAAACCCCCACAGUUGGUGUUAGAAGUGUUGCGAGUGAAGCAGCCGAGAGCCACGUUGAUAGCAUGCAUCCUUGAUAGGAUUUGAUGAAAAUGGCACCCCAGCCCUGCGGUCAUCCUCCAGAAAAGCCAUUGACAGCAGUUGAAGCAUGAGAAAAUGACCAGGUAGACCUAGGGACAGUCUACAAUAUACCUGAUCACUAUUCCUCAAAACUGCCAAGGCCAUAAAAACAAGGCAAGACUGAACCACGGUCACAGAUCAAAGGAGACUAAGGAGACGUGAUUAAACAUCGUGUGGUAUCCUGGACAUGGGACCUUGGGAGAGAAAAAGGACAUUAGGGAAAAACUGGUGACAUCUGAACAAAGUGUGGAGCUCAGUUAAUAGUCAUGUAUCAGUGUCGGUUCCUUGGUUGUGACAAAUUUACUGUGGCCAUGUAAGAUGUUCACAUUACAGGGACCUAGGUUAGGAGAAUAGGUGAAUUUUGCAACUUUGCUAUAAAUCUAAAACUGUUCUACAGUAAAAGCUUUAUAUUAAGAAAAUAUUAAAAAUCUCUAGGAUUUGGCAAUUGAUUAGGUAAGGAGGGCAAGGGAGAAGGAGGAAUAAAGAUUUUUGUGAAAGUCUUUGGCCUGAUUACCUCGGAAGUUAGCUAUGCGAGUGGACAGAAAUGACAGAAUAUAGGAGGCAGUCUGGCUUGCAAUAGGAAAUAAUGAACUCGUGGUACUAGGGAUAUAUCCAUGAAUGCGAUGUACCGUUUAACAGUUAAAGUAAUAAAAAUGGCCAGAAAGGGCUUUUGGAUUUCAGAUGUUUGGUUUAAAAUGACCUCUAGCCUCACAGCAUUUGGCAUUUAAAUUCUAAUUUAAAAAGAAAGAGGAACUGGAUUAAAAAUAAAGUAGUGAUUGAACUUGUAUAAAUAGCUGGACUCCUGCUCUUGUUUCUAUGUUUCUGUGUGGGUAAAUUUAUCUUUUUGUCAUUAAUGCAUUGCUUGGAGCUUGGAGUAGCUAUCAGCCCCUCUUUAUUUGCAGAAGGACUUAGAGUCAUGUUGCCAAGUGAAACAUGAUUUAAGUGACUCAGCAGCCAGAGCCAGCCCUUUUUCUUUAGCUAGAAAUGCUGGUUGUGUUGACCCAAAUAUACUGGAGCGCAUGUUUUGUUUACUUCAGACAAGAAGUAAGAGCUUUGAGUCAUUCCUUUUUCUACCCUAUUUAUAUUUUACAGCCAGAACUGCCUCAAAAAUACACACAGCCAUUCAUCAGAGGCCUGCGAUGUCUGCUGUGCAUUAACAAUAUAUGAAAUAUGUGAAAUUUAUCAGUGUAGGAUCAAACCACAGGCAAGACCUCACGCCUGCAUAGGUCAUGAACAGGCACUUCACCGAAAAAGAAAUUCAGGUGGCAAUACAUGUGUGAACAAAAUUAAACUUUGCAAAUAACAAAAGAUGUAUAAUUAAACUUGUGAAGAUAGCAAAGAAAUGCAGGAACCAAUGCUGGCAAGAGUAUGAAGAAGAGUACUCUGGCAGGAUUAUAGAUCAACAUAAUAUAGGGGGAGGGCAGCUUGAAAUAUAUAUUCCAGACUUUAAAAUGUAUUUAUCCUUCGUUUCAGUCAGUCCACUUCUAGAGAUUAUCCUAAGGAAACAAUGGGAUAGGCAUAUAAAGAUAUAUGUAAAGAAUGACCAUCUAAGCAUUGUUUAAAAUAGUAAAGCACUGAGGAUAACAUCCAACAAGACAGACACUGGUUGGCUUCAGUGUUGUAGAUGUAGCAAUCAUAAUAGAAAGGCUUGCAUUAAAUUUUUGAAAAAACAUAUUUCAAAAUGCAUUCAUAUAGUCCAGUUUAUACAAAAUGUAUGUGUGCAUGUACACUUCUAAAAGAACAUAUGCUAAAUUUUAAAUGCUUUUAAACUGUAAAUGAAAAUAAAAAUGUUUUAAUUCUAAACCAAAAUGUGGACUCUCAGUGCUAAAUUCUGAGUGAUGUAAACGGUCCUCUCAUAAAUUACUAUCAUUUUUGUAGAGCCUAAAACAUGUUCCCAUCACCACCCAUAUGCUUCCUCUCCAAAAUAAUCCUGAAUUUCUUAAAUAAAAAUU
rnacentral:lncRNA from 10 species